AUUGAACGCUGGCGGCAUGCCUUACACAUGCAAGUCGAACGGCAGCGCGGGAGCAAUCCUGGCGGCGAGUGGCGAACGGGUGAGUAAAAUAUCGGAACGUACCCUUGAGUGGGGGAUAACGUAGCGAAAGUUACGCUAAUACCGCAUACGAUCUACGGAUGAAAGUGGGGGACCGCAAGGCCUCAUGCUCGUUGAGCGGCCGAUAUCUGAUUAGCUAGUUGGUGAGGUAAAAGCUCACCAAGGCGACGAUCAGUAGCUGGUCUGAGAGGACGACCAGCCACACUGGGACUGAGACACGGCCCAGACUCCUACGGGAGGCAGCAGUGGGGAAUUUUGGACAAUGGGGGAAACCCUGAUCCAGCAAUGCCGCGUGUGUGAAGAAGGCCCUCGGGUUGUAAAGCACUUUUGGCAGGAAAGAAAAGGCGCUGGCUAAUAUCCAGCGCUGAUGACGGUACCUGCAGAAUAAGCACCGGCUAACUACGUGCCAGCAGCCGCGGUAAAAC
rnacentral:rRNA from 1 species